rnacentral:rRNA from 1 species
CAGUAGCCACGGGAAUACGAAGGGGGCUAGCGUUGUUCGGAAUUACUGGGCGUAAAGCGCACGUAGGCGGAUAUUUAAGUCAGGGGUGAAAUCCCGCAGCUCAACUGCGGAACUGCCUUUGAUACUGGGUAUCUUGAGUAUGGAAGAGGUUAGUGGAAUUGCGAGUGUAGAGGUGAAAUUCGUAGAUAUUCGCAGGAACACCAGUGGCGAAGGCGGCUAACUGGUCCAUAACUGACGCUGAGGUGCGAAAGCGUGGGGAGCAAACAGGAUUAGAUACCCCUGUAGUCCCUGUCUCUUAUAC